UACAGAGGGGGCAAGCGUUGUUCGGAAUUACUGGGCGUAAAGGGCGCGUAGGCGGUCAGCACAAGUCAGUUGUGAAAUCUCCGAGCUUAACUCGGAAAGGUCAACUGAUACUGUGCGACUAGAGUGCGGAAGGGGCAACUGGAAUUCUUGGUGUAGCGGUGAAAUGCGUAGAUAUCAAGAGGAACACCUGCGGCGAAGGCGACUACCUGGCCUGUUCUUGACGCUGAGGCGCGAAAGCUAGGGGAGCAAACGGG
rnacentral:rRNA from 1 species